rnacentral:tRNA from 1 species
GCGGAUGUGGUGGAAUUGGUAGACACGCUAGAUUUAGGUUCUAGUGAGUAUAUCUCAUGAGAGUUCAAGUCUCUCCAUCCGUA